CCUGACACUGUACCCAAAAAGGGAGAAUGAUGGACAUGUUUUUAGCCUACUUUUGUUGGAAAAUUAUACUUGAGUCUUCCUCAACCAGAGCAUGGUUGCGUUCCUUGACAAGGACAGAACUGUGCCUUACCAGCCCACGGACGGCUGCAUUGGGGAUGAGGGCACCGGGAUGGCUACCAACCUACACCCUGCAGAUUGCUCUUGCACGGAUACCUGCAAUAUCAAGCCAACUGCACCACUGCCGGUGAAUGAGGGUUUUACCAAAGCUCAGACACACUUCCUCAUCCACCUGAUGAAGGUCCACCUUGAGGUAGAGGGCGGGAUACCUGUAAAGUCCCUCGAUGACCUCAACAGGCGGCUGAGGCUGGGCAAGAAGCCAAAGAAGCUGCUGUGGGAGGAGAUGACUGGGAAGCUUGCCGGACAGUUCAAGGAGGACUUCCAGACCGACAAGGUGGCGCGCAAGUGGUUGACGCUGGUGGAGAGAUAUGAGAAAGUCAAGCAGAAGAACGUGUUGAAAGAAAAGAGGCCUUUCCGCUUCCAAUUCUACAGGGAGAUGGACGAGCUGCUUGGGGGAGACAAUGACGUGGAGCCACCCGGUGUGAAGAGCGAUUGUGCUGGAGUGGUGACAGGCAUACCCGGUGCACUGAGGCAGUCCAACGGUGCUCCCUCACCAGCGUUAUCAGACGGGGCUCCCUCAGCUGGGCCUUCCAGCACCACAGUGUUGCCACCUCCGGGUCGAGCCCCCACCGUACCCUCUGACACCCUGAGGUUGCGGAACCGGAAGAGGAUGAAUGACCUGAGGGACAUGACGGAGGAUUACCUCUUGGCCUAUCUUGAGAGGUCAGAUGCUGCUGCCACGGCUGCUUCCCAGAGGCGGCACGAAGACACCCUGAGCGAGAUGAGGGCGCUGAGGGAGGAUCAGAGGGAGCUCCUCCAGUUGUUCAGCAGGAUGGUGGACAAGAUGUGA
rnacentral:lncRNA from 1 species